rnacentral:rRNA from 1 species
AUGGGUCACGGCCCGUGCACCCUUCCCUUACAAAAGCUUGCCCUAAUCCGCUGGUAUAUAAGUAUUCUUUCGGUGUGCGUGCAGCAUCCACCCGCAGUCUCCCUUUCAAUCCAAAUCCGCCGCCGCCGCUCUCCGCUGACCAUGGAGCGCCAGCCAAACCGGCGCCGCGGCCGCGCCCCCCAGCAGGUCCACGGCGACGGCCCCCUUCCCCAGGGCGGAGGCCCCCUUCCCCAGCAGGUCCAGGGCGUUGUCCCCGUCGCACAGCAGGUCCUGAUCCGCUCUCCCCUCACCCCUCUCUUCACCGGUCGUUCCCUGUUCCUUACCCUGUUGAACUCGUGUUGUCUCGUUGGUUGUACCUGGCAGGUGCCGCCAAACACAGUCCCAGGGGAGUUGCAAUUCAAGGCCUAUGAGUUCAUGAAGUUUGAGCCGAAAUACCUGAAGCUGCCAAGGCGUGCGCCAGCAGUGGAGAGUACCAGGUUUCUUUUUCAUAGAGACACGGACAGGACUGGAAGCACUGUUGGUGAUCUUAUAAAAAGGAAGGCGUACAAUAGGGCUGAGAAGCUGGGAGACAAGAGGAGGCAGUACCUGCAGGUCCUUCCAGAGACCAAGGACAAUGAAGAAUUACUGAAGAAACUUGACAACGAACUGGCAGGGCUGCUGCAUAGCCUGGACAGCGCUAUUGCAGAGCUCGAUGCCGUCGUCCCCGGCAAUUUUGCGCGCCCCAACCACUUCAGCAAGCCUCCAGCCCUGAACAAGUAG